rnacentral:rRNA from 1 species
UACAGAGGUCCCGAGCGUUGUUCGGAUUCACUGGGCGUAAAGGGUGCGUAGGUGGUGAGGUAAGUCGGAUGUGAAAUCUCCAAGCUCAACUUGGAAAUGGCAUUGGAAACUACCUUGCUCGAGGGUUUGAGGGGGGACUGGAAUACUUGGUGUAGCAGUGAAAUGCGUAGAUAUCAGGAGGAAUACCGAUGGCGAAGGCAGGUCUCUGGGCUAGAACUGACGCUCAUGCACGAAAGCGUGGGGAGCAAACAGG